rnacentral:rRNA from 1 species
CCUACGGGAGGCUGCAGUAGGGAAUCUUCCACAAUUGGCGAAAGCCUGAUGGAGCAACGCCGCGGGGGUGAAGAAGGUCUUCGGAUCGUAAAACCCUGUUGUUAGAGACGAAAGUGCGUGAGCGUAACUGUUCACGUUUCGACGGUAUCUACCCAGCAAGCAACGGCUAACUACGUGCCAGCAGCCGCGGUAAUACGUAGGUGGCAAGCGUUAUCCGGAUUUAUUGGGCGUAAAGGGAACGCAGGCGGUCUUUUACGUCUGAUGUGAAAGCCUUCGGCUUAACCGGAGUAGUGCAUUGGAAACUGGGAGACUUGAGUGCAGAAGAGGAGAGUGGAACUGCAGGUGUAGCGGUGAAAUGCGUAGAGAUAUGGAGAACACCAGUGGCGAAAGCGGCUCUCUGGUCUGUAACUGACGCUGAGGUUCGAAAGCGUGGGUAGCAAAUAGGAUUAGAUACCCCUGUAGUC